UACGUAGGGUGCGAGCGUUGCCCGGAUUUAUUGGGCGUAAAGAGCUCGUAGGUGGUUCGGUAAGUCGGAUGUGAAAUCUCCAGGCUCAACCUGGAGGGGUAAUUCGAUACUGCCAUGACUAGAGGUCGGUAGGGGAGUGUGGAAUUCCUGGUGGAGCGGUGAAAUGCGCAGAUAUCAGGAGGAACACCCGUAGCGAAGGCGGCACUCUGGGCCGAUUCUGACACUGAGGAGCGAAAGCGUGGGGAGCGAACAGG
rnacentral:rRNA from 1 species